UACAGAGGGAGCUAGUGUUUUUCGGAUUUACUGGGCGUAAAGAGCGCGUAGGUGGUUGUAUAAGUUGAAAGUGAAAUCCUAGAGCUCAACUCUAGAACUGCUUUUAAUACUGUAUAACUCGAGUCAAGUAGGGGACAAUGGAAUUCUUGGUGUAGGAGUGAAAUCCUUAGAUAUCAGGAGGAACACCGGUGGCGAAGGCGAUUGUCUGGACUUUGACUGACAUUGUGGCGCGAAAGCGUGGGUAGCAAACAGG
rnacentral:rRNA from 1 species